AUCUUUAAGUAAUGAUUUAAAGUAAAGCCUGCUCAAUUCUACAAUAGUAAAUAGCCGCAGUCUUACUGUGCUAAGGUAGCAUAAUAAUUAGCCACUCAAUUAGUGGAUAGCAUGAAUGGCUAAACGAGAGAUCAACUGUUUCACCAACUUAAAGCUAAACUAAAUCAUUAGUAAAAAUUCUAAUAUAAAAGAGUGGGACGACAAGACCCUGAUAGAACUUUUCAUUUAGCUGGGGCGGCUAUAUAAACAAACCUUAAUCCAACAUUACACAAAAAUUCUAAUAAAAUUAAUUCAAGUUACCACAGGGAUAACAGCGCAAUUUUUCUUAAAAGAUCAAAUUCAAAGAAAAGAUUACGACCUCGAUGUUGAAUUAAUAUCCUAAAUUUCAGCGCAAAAGCAAUUUUAAGGUGGUCUGUUCGACCAUUAAAUAAUU
rnacentral:rRNA from 1 species